rnacentral:rRNA from 1 species
GACGAACGCUGGCGGCGUGCUUAACACAUGCAAGUCGAACGCUGAAGCUCAGCUUUUGUUGGGUGGAUGAGUGGCGAACGGGUGAGUAACACGUGAGUAACCUGCCCCCUUCUUUGGGAUAACGCCCGGAAACGGGUGCUAAUACUGGAUAUUCACUGGUCUUCGCAUGGGGGUUGGUGGAAAGGGUUUUUCUGGUGGGGGAUGGGCUCGCGGCCUAUCAGCUUGUUGGUGGGGUGAUGGCCUACCAAGGCUUUGACGGGUAGCCGGCCUGAGAGGGUGACCGGUCAGAUUGGGAGUGAGAUCCGGCCCAGACUCCUACGGGGGGCAGCAGUGGGCAAUAUUGCACAAUGGGCGCAAGCCUGCUGCAGCGGCGCCGCGUGAGGGAUGGAGGCCUUCGGGUUGUGAACCUCUUUCGCUCAUGGUCAAGCCGCAACAAUGGUUGUGGUGAGGGUAGUGGGUAAAGAAGCGCCGGCUAACUACGUG